rnacentral:rRNA from 1 species
UCCUACGGGAGGCAGCAGUGGGGAAUCUUGGACAAUGGGGGCAACCCUGAUCCAGCCAUGCCGCGUGAGUGAUGAAGGCCCUAGGGUCGUAAAGCUCUUUCGCCUGUGAAGAUAAUGACGGUAGCAGGUAAAGAAACCCCGGCUAACUCCGUGCCAGCAGCCGCGGUAAUACGGAGGGGGUUAGCGUUGUUCGGAAUUACUGGGCGUAAAGCGCACGUAAGCGGAUCGGAAAGUUGGGGGUGAAAUCCCGGGGCUCAACCCCGGAACUGCCUCCAAAACUAUCGGUCUAAAUUUCAAGAGAAGUGAGUGGAAUUCCGAGUGUAGAGGUGUAAAUUCCUAUAUAUUCGGAGGAACACCAAGGGCGAAGGUAGCUUUGUGGCUCGAUACUGACUCUGAGGUGCGAAAAUGUGGGAGACAAAACAGAAUUAAAUACCCUGGAAGUCCACUCCGUAAACGAUAAUUGCCAGCCUGUCGGGUACAAUGUUAUUC